rnacentral:snoRNA from 1 species
GCCCACUGAUGAGAUUAUGGCAAGUUUGAUGAUCCAGACAGACCAAGAGAUUGUGGUCUCUAGCCUGCUGUUAGAUGGGUAAUCUUGGUAGUGUGGUGGAGUUUUACUGCAUUGCUGUAAGGGCCCAUCCACAGUUAACAUGUCACCUUCUAUAACCCCUGCCCCCCUCCAAGAGCAAUGGGACGGGACAGAUAGAAGAUGUCAAACAAUGUGCGGAUGUUUGUGUGUGUUUUAGUAUGAAUGUAUAUGUAUCAGCUGGCAAGAGGCUACAGUCUCAUUAUUGGUUUGGCGGGUAUGAAGUACUCUUUGGUAAUCUGAGGGCA